rnacentral:rRNA from 1 species
GAUGAACGCUAGCGGCAGGCUUAACACAUGCAAGUCGAGGGGUAGAUGGUGCUUGCACCAUUGAGACCGGCGCACGGGUGCGUAACGUGUAUGCAAUCUGCCUUUCACAAAGGGAUAGCCCAGAGAAAUUUGGAUUAAUACCUUAUAGCAUAUUGAUAUGGCAUCACAUUAUUAUUAACGAUUUAUCGGUGAAAGAUGAGCAUGCGUUCCAUUAGCUAGAUGGUAAGGUAACGGCUUACCAUGGCGACGAUGGGUAGGGGUCCUGAGCGGGAGAUCCCCCACACUGGUACUGAGACACGGACCAGACUCCUACGGGAGGCAGCAGUGGGGAAUGUUCCACAAUGGGCGAAAGCCUGAUGGAGCAACGCCGCGUGUGUGAUGAAGGUUUUCGGAUCGUAAAGCACUUUCGACUGGGACGAAAAACCUUUGGCUAACAUCCAGGGGCCUGACGGUACCAGGAGAAGAAGCACCGGCUAACUCUGUGCCAGCCGCCGCGGUAAGAC